CCCAUUUUUCCCCCAUUACCCGGCCGAUAUUCAUCGGUGAGGUGACUCCCGAAGUUGUAGACCAGGUCGAGGUGGCGCCGCUCCUGCAGCCGGUUGCCCACCUCGCGGAACGCCUCCUGCGCCAUGCUCUCCAUCUGGCGCCGGCCCAGCCCCAGGCGGUGCCGCGCGCUGGCGCCGCGGAUCUCGCGCAGGAUGUCCGAGUAGUCGGGGAAGGCGUCGGGCCGGUUGAUGAAGCGCUCGAUGCUGCGGUUCACCUCGGGGUAGCGCGUGCCGCGGAAGCGGAUGCGCUGCUCCAGCACGCGCCCCGUGAGGCUGCUGCAGUCCUUGAGCUGGCACAGGCGGCGGAAGAUGCGCAUCAUGCGGCGCUUGAGGCGGUUCUCCUGCAGGUACGGCGAGUCGGCGCUGUCCAGCUCGGCCAGGUCCAGCUCGCGCUCCUGCAGCCGCCGGAUCUCGCUGGCGUAGACGCGCAGCAGGUGCUCCAGGUGCCGGAUCUGCCGCCGGGAGCCGCCCGCGCGCCGGCCCGAGGCCUCCGGGGGCUGCGGCUGGGAGCCGGGAUGCUGGGGUGGAGCGCUGGGAUACUGGGAUGGGGUGCUGGGAUACUGGGAUGGGGUGCUGGGAUACUGGGAUGGGGCACUGGGAUACUGGGAUUGGGCGCUGGGAUACUGGGAUGGGGCGCUGGGAUGCUGGGAUGGGGCACUGGGAUAUUGGGAUGCAGCACUGGGAUGCUGGGAUGGGGUACCAGGACACUGGGAUGAACCCCCAGGACACUGGGAUGAGCUGCUGGGAUACUGGGACGAGGCACUGGGAUUGGCGGACGAACCGCCGGGAUGCUGCGAGGAGGCGUCGGAGCACCAGGAGGGACCAUUGGGAUACUGGGAUGGAGCACUGGGAUCGCUGGAAGAACUCUGGGGACACUGGGAUGGAUCAGUGGGACACUGGGAUGGAUCGGUGGGACACUGGGAUGAACUGGUGGCGGCACACAGGGACGGCUCAGCUCCGUCGGGACGCUGGGACGAACUGGACAAACUGGGCGGGCACUGGGACGAGCCGGGAGGGCACUGGGAGGCACUGGGAGGAUUCUGGAAGGUUCCAUCGGGAUUCCGGAAGGUUCCGUCAGGAUUCCGGAAGGUUCCAUCGGGAUCCCGGAAGGUUCCGUCGGGAUCCCGGAAGGUUCCAUCGGGACUCCGGAAGGUUCCAUCGGGGCUCGGGGGCGCUCCGUCGGGGCUCCGGAAGGUUCCGUCGGGGCCGGGGGGCGCGGGCAGGGCGCGCAGGGGCAGGCGGCGCCGCAGCGCGCGCGCCUUGAGCACGGUGCACAGCUCGUUGAUGUACACGUAGACCUUGCGGCGCCGGCCCCGCACGCGCCGCAGCAGCCGGCCCAGAAUGUUCCGGAACUCGGCCGAGCCCCGGAAGUCGGGGUGGGCGCGCAGGUGGCGCGAGCUCAGGAAGGGCAGCACCUCGGGGUGCUCCUGCGUCAGCGGCGC
rnacentral:lncRNA from 1 species